UACGUAGGGUGCGAGCGUUGUCCGGAAUUAUUGGGCGUAAAGAGCUCGUAGGCGGUGUGUCACGUCGGCCGUGAAAACCCGGGGCUCAACCCCGGGCCUGCAGCCGAUACGGGCAGACUAGAGUUCGGCAGGGGAGACUGGAAUUCCUGGUGUAGCGGUGAAAUGCGCAGAUAUCAGGAGGAACACCGGUGGCGAAGGCGGGUCUCUGGGCCGAUACUGACGCUGAGGAGCGAAAGCGUGGGGAGCGAACAGG
rnacentral:rRNA from 1 species